rnacentral:rRNA from 1 species
CAGUAGCCACGGUAAUACGUAGGUGGCAAGCGUUGUCCGGAAUUAUUGGGCGUAAAGCGCGCGCAGGUGGUUUAAUAAGUCUGAUGUGAAAGCCCACGGCUCAACCGUGGAGGGUCAUUGGAAACUGUUAAACUUGAGUGCAGGAGAGAAAAGUGGAAUUCCUAGUGUAGCGGUGAAAUGCGUAGAGAUUAGGAGGAACACCAGUGGCGAAGGCGGCUUUUUGGCCUGUAACUGACACUGAGGCGCGAAAGCGUGGGGAGCAAACAGGAUUAGAUACCCGGGUAGUCCCUGUCUCUUAUAC